UGACUCUUCGGAGUAAUGUGCUUGCUCUAUCGCUUUUUCUACUCUCCACUGUGCACCUAUUGUAGGCUGUGAAUAACCUUUCAGUCCUUCCUUGAAGGAACUGGAUAAGAGGGCUUGCUUUCUUGGCUUGACCUCACCUUCAUAGCCUAUGUAUUACACACUCUUUAAAGAAGUCUUUGAAUGUGAUCUUGUUGGUCUUGAAUGGACCGAUAAAACGUUAUAUACAACUUUCAGCAACGGAUCUCUUGGCUCUCGCAUCGAUGAAGAACGCAGCGAAAUGCGAUAAGUAAUGUGAAUUGCAGAAUUCAGUGAAUCAUCGAAUCUUUGAACGCACCUUGCACUCCUUGGUAUUCCGAGGAGUAUGCCUGUUUGAGUGUCAUUAACUUCUCAAACCUUCGAGUCUCUUAUAUGUAGGCUUUUGUAAGGCUUUGGAUGUGAGGAUUUGCCGGUNCUUGUAUGAGGAUCGGCUUCCUUGAAAUAUAUUAGUGGGUUACAUGAUCCCCUUUCAUUUGGUGUGAUAGUUAUCUACGCCUUUGAAAUGAUCACUUUGGUAUCUGCUUCUAACCACCCCAAGUCUUGUUCUUUUAAUCGGGAACGACUCUUGAUUUUUUAUGUUUGACCUCAAAUCAGGUAGGACUACCCGCUGAACUUAAGCAUAUCA
rnacentral:rRNA from 1 species